rnacentral:rRNA from 1 species
CGGAGGAAAAGAAACCAACUGGGAUUACCUUAGUAACGGCGAGUGAAGCGGUAAAAGCUCAAAUUUGAAAUCUGGUACUUUCAGUGCCCGAGUUGUAAUUUGUAGAAUUUGUCUUUGAUUAGGUCCUUGUCUAUGUUCCUUGGAACAGGACGUCAUAGAGGGUGAGAAUCCCGUUUGGCGAGGAUACCUUUUCUCUGUAAGACUUUUUCGAAGAGUCGAGUUGUUUGGGAAUGCAGCUCAAAGUGGGUGGUAAAUUCCAUCUAAAGCUAAAUAUUGGCGAGAGACCGAUAGCGAACAAGUACAGUGAUGGAAAGAUGAAAAGAACUUUGAAAAGAGAGUGAAAAAGUACGUGAAAUUGUUGAAAGGGAAGGGCAUUUGAUCAGACAUGGUGUUUUUUGCAUGCACUCGCCUCUCGUGGGCUUGGGCCUCUCAAAAAUUUCACUGGGCCAACAUCAAUUCUGGCAGCAGGAUAAAUCAUUAAGAAUGUAGCUACUUCGGUAGUGUUAUAGCUUUUUGGAAUACUGUUAGCCGGGAUUGAGGACUGC